GUGCUCGCUUCAGCAGCACAUAUACUAAAAUUGGAACGAUACAGAGAUUAGCGUGGCCCCUGCUCAUGGAUAACAUGCAAAUUCGUGAAACGUUCCAUAUUUUA